GGCGGGCGGGGUGGGGGGGGGGUUCAGAAGCCGAAUGGCCCGAGGAUAGAAACGGUUUCCCACCCUGACCGUUCCUGUCUUUCUGCGUCGGAGUCUCCUGCCCGAUGGGAGAAAGUCUAAGAGGGUGCUGGAUGGACGGGUGGGAUCCUUGUACGCAGCGCUCCUGAUGAAUGACCCUGACGGGCGUUACGAUCAGCUCAGCCGCUCUCACAGUCCUUCGUCGGGACUUCUGGUCCGAUGCUCCGCUACUCCCGUACCGGCUGGAGAUGCAGCUUCAUUCGGACCUCUCAGCGGUGCUGCAGUCAAACGCAGUUAAGAUGACUUGAUGACCCGGGUGAGCUGGAUCCUGUGACACAGUCCUGCGUCAGCAGCGGGCUGAGCACACAGCCUUGGGAAGCGCCAGUGCUCAGUACAAUGGAACUGAAGACACUGCUGCCCACGCUGACUGACUGUGGGCUCACUGUUAAGAACUGAGGACCCACACCAUUCUGCACAUGCCGUUUCUCACUUCAACCAUCGGAGGAGCUGAUUUCAGAAUGGUCCAACAAUCCUCUCCAAAUUCCUCUUUUGCAGAAUACUUCUUUGUAACCGAUGGUAACCGCACGAAAGGUAACAUUUAACCUAACAAUAAACCCGGAUUGAUUCUGAAGCCCAGAGCGUGUUCCCUUUCUUGGGCCUGGGGAAAGCUACCACUGAACCAGCCUCUUCUUUCACCGCUGGCUCUGCCUCCGUCUGGGACACUCUUGACUUCAAUAAGGCAACGUGCAUCAUCCGCAAAGCAAGCAGCAUUAUGAAGGACCCCACACACCCCUCGGACAAACUCUUCUCCCUCCUGACGUCUGGGAGCAUUCGGGCUCUCACGACCAGACUGUGUAACAGUUUCUUCCCCCAAGCCAUCAGACUCCUCAAUACCAGAGCCUGGACUGACACCAGCUUACUGCCUUCUAAUGAGCCUAUUGUCUUUAUUGUAACGCCUGCACUGUUUUGUGCACUUUAUGCAGUCCUGGCUGGGUCUGUAGUCUAGUGUAGUUUUUGUGUUGGUUUACGUAGUUCAGUGUAGUUUUUGUAUUGUUUCAUGUAGCACCAUGGUCCUGAAGAAGGUUGUUUCGUUUUAACUGUGUACUGUACCAGCAGUUAUGGUCGAAAUGACAACAAAAUGUGACUUGACUUGACUUGAUCCUCCACCAACACACACAACACUCCACGUAUGUGGUACUGGUAAAUUUCCACAGAUGCACUGCAUCACCUGUGGGGGCGGACUGUGCAGGAUUGAACCUGCAGGAACUUGUAAACUCAGUCAGCUCCACCUUGGGCCACAGUACUCAGGACAUCUUCAAGGAAUGAUGCCUGAAAUAGGCGGUGUCCAUCCUUAAGGAUGCCCAUUACCCGGGGCAUGCCCUCUUCUCACUGUUAGCAUCAGGAAGGAGGUACAGAAGCCUGAAGGCACACACUCAGCGAUUCAGGAACAGCUUCUACUCCUCGGUCACCCGAUUUCUGAAUGGGCAUUGACCCCGUGAACAAUCCCUUGCUACAUUGCAUUAUACUGCUCCUGCAAAAACAACACAUUUCACAACAUAUGGCGGUUACAUUAAACCUGGGAGGCGAUGGGGUCAUGGGAGAAGAGGAUCAGAGAAAGAGAGGAGGGACGUGGGAGGUUUUUGAAUGGACAGUUUGUAGGGAUACUCACUGUGUCCGAGUGUUUGCUCUGAACGUGUGGAGGGUGUUUCACCCCGGAUCUGUUGCCAGUAAAUUCACUACCUCGCCGCUAAUUCUGUUCUGGGAGCCCUGCUUUGGCGAUUUUUGUACAAGGAAGGAGAAACGUGGGCUCGUGGCUUUGCGGAUGACACAAGUGUUGCUGUUGUAUAUGGUGUGCAAGAUUGUUGGGGGUCACAACAGGUCGUUGAUAAGAUGCAGAGCUGUGCCGAGAGAUGGCAGGUGAAGAUUAUUACAGAAAAGUGCCAAGUGGUGCAGUGUGCACGCUUGAAUCUGAAGACGAGAGGACAGGGUUAAACACAGGGCCGUUAGCAGUGAAGGGGUCUCGGCUCUACAAUCAGAGAUCCCUUACGGCUGAUCGGCUGACUACAAGAAGUCUUCUUCCCUUCAUUGGUCAGGGAUUUAUUUCGGGAUCAGCAAGGUCGCAUUGCAGCUCGAUAAAACUCUCCUUAGACCAUGCUUGGAUACAGCUCCUCCUGCCUCGUGACAGGAGCAUUGAGAGAGGUUCAUGCUGACCUGCCACAUACCCGGUGUGGGUGUUUGCUGCUGGAGGAUGGUGCGCUUUACCUUCCUGAAGUGAAGAGAGUUCCAGACGGCGGCAGCGCCAGCGGGGAAAGGUGUGUGGAAGUCAGAUACAUUGGGGAUAUUUAAGAGACUCUCGCCCAGCACCGAGAAAAGAAAGUUGCAGAUCUGUGUGGGAGGGAAGUGUUAGUUUGAUCGAUGUCAGCUCAACAUUGUGAGCUGACGGGCCUCUCCUGUUCCAAUGUUCGGAAUAAACAGACUGCUUUGUUGAAAGAACACUGAUUUAUUCUUUAUUUUAAAGCCACAGCAUUAAAAUAUGGCCCAGACUUUCACCCGCUUCCCACAGCCAACACUGACAAAACACACCACAGGUAACGUCCAGGGCUAAUCCAGCGCUCCCCCCACCCCCCCAACAACCAACACCCCUCCCACCCUCCGAGUCCCGGAGUCUCCCAGUCAGUCCUGUCUCGUCACUGAGAGUCCAGAUCCCAACCUGUGACUGUCGUCUUUGCACCAUCAGAGGGGGUGAUGGGGGGCUCUGGAGAAGGUGUGGAAGAAGUUCACCAGGACCCUGAAAGGAUUGGAGGGUGUCAGCGAGACCGGUAGGUUGCAAAAACAUGAGUUACAUUCUCUGGAACUUCAGACGGAACUGCUUCCGAGCCACCCCCUCCCCUGCCCCGGGCAAUCAGCUGUCAGUUUUAUUGCUGGUUUGAUCACCAUCCACAUCUCUUCUCACUUCCUCCGACAGUCCCUUUCCCCCUCCCUUUCACAACCACCCCACCUCUUCGCCGUUCCUCCCUUGGCCGCUCGCUCCAACGUUUCGGGCCAAGACCCUUCGUCAGGACUGAAGGAGGAGGGGGCAGGGGCCCUAUAAAGAAGGUGGGGGGAGGGUGGAAAACCAAUCAGAGGAAAGAUCAAGGGGUGGGCGAGGGGACAGGCAGGAGAGGUGAAGAAGGAAUGUAAGGGGAAAGCACUAUGGGUGGUAGAAGGAGGCAGAAUCAUGAGAGAGGUGAUAGGCAGCUGGAGGAGGAGGCAGAGUGAAACUGGGAUGGGGAAGGCAGAGGGAGGGAAUUACCGGAAGUUGGAUAAUUCUAUUUUCAUGCCAAGGAAAGCUGCAGGGCCUGAUGGUGUCUCUAAGGCAUGGUGAACAUCAGCAGCACCUGCCCUCACUGAGGUAUUUAACACCUCCCUGCAAUUAUGAAGGCUUCUGGGCUGCCUUAAAGUUCCGAAAACUAUUCCAUUUCCCAAGAAGAACGAGAUCACCUUGGUUUAAUGAUUGUAGGACUGUUGUUCUGACUUUAGUGGUUAUGAAACCUUUGAAUGUUUGAUAUUGGCCCUAACUGCGUCCAUUACUGAUCCUUCUCUUGACCCGCUAUAAUUUUGUUUUGGAGCAAAGUGCUCAGCUGAGGAUGCAGUUAACUUGUGGCUCCAUUACAACCUUUAACACUUAAACUCCCCAACACCCAGGUUAGGAUCUCGUUUGCUGACUUAACGCCGUUGCUCUGGAGUAAGCUAGCCGUAUCCUACCAUACCUGUCAGCGAGUUACGCCAGGAAGCAGGCGCGAGCCCACGUGGCCGAGGAAGAUUGAAACAUCAAGGCGGACAUGGAAGGCGGGCCAGGGUUCCGCAGCCCGAGAACGAGCCUGUGUGGGAGCUCGCUGUGCCUCGAGGGUAGGCCUCCGCAUUCCAGCGGCGUCUCCUUCUUUCGAUGGCCUCGGAGGAUGUUAACGAGGUUCUGCGUUUAUGGAGUUGGACUGUGGGCUUCCCCAGUUUUAUGGUUUUUGUAUUGGAACUGUCACCCAUUCUUCCUCAUUUUUUUAACAUGGAGUGGGGGGUGCUUUGGGGCCAAUGUUCUUGUUGUGUUUUUGUGUGUGUGUGUGUGUGUGUGUGUGUGUGUGUGUGUGUGUGUGUGUGUGUGUGUGUGUGUGUGUGUGUGUGUGUGUGUGUGUGUGUGUCUGUGUGUGGGGGGGGGGUGGGGGGGUUGCUGCUGUUACUGUUAGAACUGACCUCCAUGACUUUCUUUGUUUCCAGGCUAUCUGGAGAAGACGAAUCUCAGAGUCAUGCAAACUUUAAUAAAUGAACCUUUGAGCCUUCAGUAUGUAAAGCUAAUUGUCCAAUCCAAUGCCUACAAGCACAAUGCAAACAGCAGAAAAUCUGCAGAUGCUGGAAAUCCAAAGCAACACACACAAGAUGCUGGAGGAACUCAGCAGGGCAGACAGCGUCGAUGGAGAGGAACAAACAGGGGACAUUUCAGGCCGAGACCCUUCUUCAGGACUGAAAUGGAAGGGGGAAGAUGCCAGAAUAAAAAUGUGGGGGGAGGGGAGGUAGGUUAGCCGGAAGGAGACAGGUGGGUGGGAAAGGUAAAGGGCUGGAGAGGAAGGAAUCUGACAGGAGAGGAGAGAAGGAGAGGACCGGGAAAACUGAUGGCAGGCAAGAAGAGGCGAAAGGCAGAGUGGGGAAUAGAAGAGUGGAUGGGGGAGGGGAUUUUCUUUUUAAACUGGAAAGAGAAGUUGAUAUUCGUGCCUUCAGAUGGAAUGUAAGGUGUUGCUCCUCCACCCCGAGGACUUUGGGGAUGAGUGCCGGGAGGGAGAUUAGUGGAGAGGGACGAAUGGACGAGGGAAUCACAGAGUGGGAGGGGGUGGUAAACACACAUUUCUUUCACCCCACCUACUCUCAGUUUAUACGAAUGACAGCACCUCCACAGACAAAUCCAUUAAAAUCCUAAAGUUUGUGGAUGAUACGGGUGCAGUUAGUCUCAUCUGUAAUAAUGAUGUGACCUGCUUCUGAAGGGAGGUAGACUGUUCUAUAGCAUGGUGUGGAGCUUAAUGCUAUCAAGACAGUGGAAAUGAGGAUUGACUUUCACCAACAAGACCCUACCUGCACCCCCCCCACCCCCGGAAAUGAAUGGUCAGACCGUGUUUGUGGUUGAGUCAUUCAAAUUCCUGGGUCUACCAUUGAAGCGGGUCUAGCACUUUACGCUCACACCCAGGAAAGCCCAGCAGAAAUUGCUCUUCCUACACCAGCUUAGGAAACGUCACAUCUCAGGUCACACCCUGAUGAAUUUUUACUCAGCCAGCAUUGGGAGUGUUGUAACCACCUCUAUCACCGUUUCGCUCCCUGCUGCCUCCACUCUCUCUGUCCAGGUUGCAGAGAGCGUCCACUCAGCCAAGAAGCUCACUGGCUGUCAGCUGCCAACAUCAAAAGCCCUGUCCAUCACCAGAGUGAAGAAAGGAGCUUGAAAAAUUACUCCUGACUCCACCCACCCUAGCAGUCACCUAUUCACCAAAAUGCCAUCAGCGGGACACUACAAGACCAUCACCACAGGCACUACAUAUCAUUUCCAAAGUAGCUGUCCAUUUUCUCAACAAAACUCUCUCAGAUGUAAUGCCCUAAAUAUUCCUUCACAAUAUCUGUUAAAUGGUCUUUUCUCCUCUCCUUGCCCUGUUGAUAACUACUUAUAGUCUGUUCAUAUUUAUUUAAGUUUGAUUGUUGACGUUAUGUGACUGUUAUGGUAAUUGUCGACUGCUCUUUGCACUAUUAUCUUGUAGAUCACUGUUGUCUGUAAAGCUGUUGUCCUGGGGUUGAUGCUUGGCACAGAAGCACAAUCGAUUCUGGGAUGUCUCAGACACCGGCAAUAAAGUGACUGAUUCCGGAGCAGCGGACGCCGAAGGGAGACCUCAAACUUUCUGAGAUUAUCAGAGGCACAGAUAGACAAUCAUCUGCAGGCAGGCCCUCGCAGGUUCAGGAGGCCAUGAGAAGUACAGAUUGAGGGAACUGCCGGAGUAAUUUGCCCCAGGGUGAAAUGUCAGACACGAGAGAGAGGGCAUGGAGUUAAGGUGGAGGGGGGCAAAUUCAAAUGAGGUGUGUGGGACAAGUUUUUAUUUACACAGUAAGUGCCAGGAUCAUCAAGUGCGGUGAUGGCAGAUACUACAGACGACUUUCAAAGGGAUUAGGCAUCAGCAUAACAUUGUGGGCCGAAAGGCCAGAGCGGAGCUGUAUUCUGUGACCGCCAACCACGUUUAACACCAUGAGAUAUGGGAGACUUGAGUUUAAGAGUCGAGAGGUAAUGCUGCAGCUAUAUAGGACCCUGGUCAGACCCCACUUGGAGUACUGUGCUCAGUUCUGGUCGCCUCACUACAGGAAGGAUGUGGAAACCAUAGAAAGGGUGCAGAGGAGAUUUACAAGGAUGUUGCCUGGAUUGGGGAGCAUGCCUUAUUAGAAUAGGUUGAGUGAACUCGGUCUUUUCUCCUUGGAGUGACGGAGGAUGGGAGGUGACCUGAUAGAGGUGUACAAGAUGAUGAGAGGCAUUAACCGUGUGGACAGUCAGAGGCUUUUCCCCAGGGCUGAAAUGGCUAACACAGGGGGGCUUGGAAAUAGGUAUGAGGGGGAUGUCAGAGGCAAGUUUUUCACAGAGGGGUAGGUGCGUGGAAUGGGCUGCCAGCGGCGGUGGUGGAGGCAGAUACAAUAGGGUCGAAGAGACUUAGACAGGUACACGGAGCUCAGAAAAAUAGAGGGCUAUGCAGUAGGGAAAUUCUAGACAGCUUCAUGGUUACAUGGUCGAUACAACAUUGUGGGCUGUAGAUUUUCUAUGUUCUCAUUCGGCCAUUCGGCCCCACAAGUCUGCUUCAAUAUUUCAUCCUGGCUGAUCCAAUCUCCUGCCUUCUCCCCGUAUCCCUUCGUGCCCUGACCAAACGAAAAUCUAUCAACCUCUGCUUUAAACGCACCCAGUGACCCAGCCUCCACAGCUGCCUGAGGCAGCAAAUUCCGCAGAUUCACCACCUUCCGGCCACAGAAAUUCCUCCUCAUCUCUGUUCUAAACGGCUGUCCCUCAAUUCUCAGGCUGUGCCCUCAGGCCCUAGCGACUUACCUACCAUGUGAGCUUUCAGUUUCCCUAGUGAUGGCAACUUCACCCACUUCUCCCCCCUGUCCGGCAGACUGCUCGUGUCUGCCACAGUGAUUCAAUCCUACUUCCAUUUCCUUGUCCCCCCUCACUACCUUCCAGGGGUCUGAUAUCUCCUCUCACCUCAUAUAUCUGUAGAAACACUCGGUAUCAUCUUUAAUAUUACAGGCUUCUUUACAUUCGUAUUAACCUUCAUAAUGACUUUUUUAGCUGCCUUCUUAAAAGCCCCCCAGUCCUCUCAACUUCCCACGAACUGUGUCUCCAUUAUAUCCCCUCUCUUUUGCUUUGGCUUCUCUUGUCAGCCACAGUCGUGUCGUUUUU